UUCGAAGCAACGCGAAGAACCUUACCAGGUCUUGACAUCCCCUGACAACCCGAGAGAUCGGGCGUUCCCCUUCGGGGGGACAGGGUGACAGGUGGUGCAUGGUUGUCGUCAGCUCGUGCCGUGAGAUGUUGGGUUAAGUCCCGCAACGAGCGCAACCCUCGCCUCUAGUUGCCAGCAUUCGGUUGGGCACUCUAGAGGGACUGCCGGCGACAAGUCGGAGAAGUGGGGAUGACGUCAAAUCAUCAUGCCCCUUAUGACCUGGGCUACACACGUGCUACAAUGGGCGGUACAAAGGGCUGCGAACCCGCGAGGGGGAGCGAAUCCCAAAAAGCCGCUCUCAGUUCGGAUUGCAGGCUGCAACUCGCCUGCAUGAAGCCGGAAUCGCUAGUAAUCGCGGAUCAGCAUGCCGCGGUCGAAUACGUUCCCGGGCCUU
rnacentral:rRNA from 1 species